GCUAAAGUCUCACCUGUUUAAGACGAUUCUCAGUGGCCGUAAUCUUGAAACCCCAACCUCCAAAUCUCAUUCCAUCUUUGCUUCUUAAACACACAAAUACUCUCUCUAGAUACACAACCCUAAUCUCUCUCAGCUUCUUUCUUCGCGAUGCCUAAGUUGUCAUCGACCGUUCCGAAUCAGAUUCGGUUCUUGCUCCAGUGCUUGACCGAAGCCAAUGUCGAUUCUGUUUUCCAAGAGCUAUGCCAGUUUAUUGACUAUGGAGUUGAGGGAAGUGUUCUGGUGCUCCAAACCUGCUUGGAACAGCUGUAUUUCCACAGGACAGACUUGAAAAAUAUGCAGCUGGAACCAGUUUUCGUGUCAAUUUUCAGAUUUCUUUUGGACAAACCAAAUUUCAGUACGGUGCUUUGUCAAUCAUUAAGAAGCACAGAGAUUAAUGAUGAAUUCCUAGAGAAUUUGUCUAGUGUGUUAAAUUUAUCUCUGUCUGAAAAAAUUGGCAUUGGUCUUGCUCUGUCUGAUUCUGAGAUCAUUGAAUCCAGAAUGAGUGCAAAGAAAUUUUGCAUGGCUCAGAUUGAGGAACUGUGUACCAAUCCAGUUUCUAUGAAUUCGUCGGAGCAAAUUCAGAAUAUUGUUAUGUUCCUUCAGCAGUCUGAGGGCCUUUCCAAGCAUGUAGACCACCUUUUGCAGAUAUUAUCCUUAGUGCAACCAAAGGAGACUUUUCCAUUUGUUUUAACUCCACUGCUUUCAGAUGAAAUGCGCGAGGCCAAUUUCUUGAGGAAUGUGGAUCUGUACCAUGAAUGCAAGGAAAAUGAAUUUGAUGCGCUGUUAGCUGAAAUGGAGAAGGAGAUGAGUGUGGGUGAUGUUGUGAAAGAAUUGGGCUAUGGAUGCACAUUUGAUGCCUCACAUUGCAAAGAGAUAUUAUCUCACUUCUUACCGCUGACUGAGAGCACUAUCUCGAAGAUACUUGGAACUAUUGUGAGCAACCAUACUGGCCUUGAAGACAACCAGAGCACAUUUUCAAACUUUGUUAUAGCACUGGGUUUUAGCAGCUACACUGAUCUCCCACUGUUAAGUUCCUGGGAUAUUGACAUCCUUGUGAAAACUAUCAAGCAACUUGCUCCUGGUACAGAUUGGAUACAAGUGAUGGAAAAUAUGGAUCACGAGGGAUUUUACAUCCCUAAUGAGGAAGCAUUCUCUUUCUUCAUGUCUGUAUAUAGACAUGCUUGCCAGGAUCUAUUCCCUCUCCAUGCUAUUUGUGGAUCCCUGUGGAAGAAUACUCAGGGUCAGCUAUCUCUUCUCAAAUAUGCUGUAUUGGCCCCACCAGAAGUGUUUACCUUUGCUCAUUCUGGAAGACUGCUGGUCUAUCAUGACGCAGUACAUGGUUAUAAGCUUCAACUUGGACAUGCAAAUCAUGCAUGGUUGUGUCUUGACCUUUUGGAUGUGCUUUGUCAGCUAGCUGAGAUGGGUCAUUCUAGUUCUAUUCGGUCAAUGCUCGAAUAUCCUCUCAAGCACUGUCCAGAAAUCUUACUUCUUGGAAUGUCACAUAUCAAUACUGCAUAUAACCUUCUCCAAUGUGAAGUGUCUUUUAUGGUUUUUCCAAUGAUAAUCAAAAGCUUCACAGGUAGUGGUGUGAUUCUUUACCUCUGGCAUGUAAAUCCUAGUCUUGUUGUGCGGGGAUUUGUAGAUGUUUACAAUAUUGAAUCAGACUGCAUGACCAAGAUAUUGGACAUAUGCCAAGAAUUAAAGAUUCUGUCAUCAGUGUUAGACAUGAUUCCUUCUCCUUCUGGCAUCAGAUUGGCAGCGCUAGCUUCACGAAAAGAACUUAUUGACCUUGAGAAGUGGCUGACUACUAAUUUAAUUACAUACAAGGAUUUUUUCUUUGAGGAAUGUCUCAAGUUUUUGAAGGAGGUCCAACUUGGUGGAUCACAGGAUUUUUCUGCCAAACCUUUCCAUCAUACUAGUUCUAUAACAAAUAUUUAUAUGGAGACUAGUUCUACCUUCCUGAAGGUCCUUAAGGCCCAUACAAACUUAAUUAUCUCUAGUCGACUUUCUGAGGAAAUGGAAAGGUUAAAUUUAACAAUUAUGGACUCUAAUCCGCGGCUGCAAAAUGGUGGCUCUGCAGAAUCAUCUGCCCCUGAUGGGUUUUCAGAUGAUGUUGAGGCAGAAGCUAACUCUUACUUCCAUCAAAUGUUUUCUAGUCAAUUGACAAUUGAUGCAAUGGUUCAAAUGCUUGCUCAAUUCAAGGAAUCACCUGUGAGAAGGGAGCAGUUAAUUUUUGAAUGUAUGAUUGGCAAUCUAUUUGAGGAGUAUAGAUUCUUCCCAAAGUACCCUGAAAGGCAACUAAAAAUUGCUGCUGUUAUGUUUGGUUCUGUCAUCAAGCACCAGCUCGUAACUCAUCUGACACUGGGGAUUGCCUUGCGUGGUGUUUUAGAUGCACUGCGAAAACCCCCAGAUUCCAAAAUGUUUGUUUUUGGGACCAAGGCUUUGGAGCAGUUUGUGGAUCGCCUGAUUGAGUGGCCGCAGUAUUGCAACCAUAUCUUACAGAUAUCUCAUCUGCGUGGCACUCAUUCAGAGCUUGUUUCUUUCAUUGAACGGGCGCUUGCCAGGAUUUCAUCAGGUCAUUUGGAAUCGGAUGGAAGUAACAAUCCUUCUGCUGCUCACCAUCACAGUUUAUCUCAGGCUAGCUCAGGGAAUGGAGAGUUGAAUAGUGUUAACAUGACACAGCCUGUGCAGCAACUAUCCUCUGCGCUCCAUGUUCAACAGAGACAUGAAAGUCCUCUUGAUGAUCGUCAUAAAGUUGCUGUGGCUUCAUCUAAUGACACCAAAUCUCUUUUAUCUGCUGGAGGGCAAUCUUCGGUUGCUCCUUUAGGUGAUAAUUCGAGUACUCAGAAGAGUGUGGUCAGUACUCCUGCUAUGCUGUCUUCUUCUCAUGGUUUCAUUCGUCCUUCUCGUGGAGCUACCUCUGCUAGGUUUGGCUCUGCUUUGAACAUUGAAACUCUUGUAGCUGCCGCUGAGAGAAGGGAAACACCAAUAGAGGCUCCAGCUUCUGAGAUUCAGGAUAAAAUAUCGUUCAUCAUUAACAAUAUUUCAGCUGCAAACAUUGAGGCUAAAGCAAAAGAAUUUACUGAAAUAUUGAAAGAGCAGUAUUAUCCCUGGUUUGCCCAGUAUAUGGUUAUGAAAAGGGCAAGCAUUGAACCCAAUUUUCAUGACUUGUACUUGAAGUUUCUUGAUAAAGUUAAUUCGAAGGCCUUAAAUAAGGAGAUUGUCCAGGCCACUUAUGAGAACUGCAAGGUUCUCUUAGGUUCGGAGCUGAUAAAAUCAAGUUCAGAGGAGCGUUCAUUGCUAAAAAACCUGGGAAGCUGGCUUGGAAAGUUAACUAUUGGUAGGAAUCAAGUUCUAAGGGCUCGUGAGAUAGAUCCCAAAUCUUUGAUUAUUGAGGCUUAUGAGAAGGGGCUGAUGAUUGCUGUAAUUCCGUUUACUUCAAAGAUCCUGGAGCCGUGCCAAAGUAGUCUAGCAUACCAACCUCCUAAUCCUUGGACAAUGAGUAUUCUUGGAUUGCUUGCUGAAAUUUAUUCAAUGCCAAACUUGAAGAUGAACCUUAAAUUUGACAUAGAGGUUCUAUUCAAGAACCUUGGUGUAGAUAUGAAGGACAUAACACCCACUUCUUUUCUGAAGGAUCGGAAAAGAGAAAUUGAAGGGAACCCUGAUUUCUCUAAUAAAGAUGUUGGAGCAUCACAACCACAGAUUGUUGCUGAAGCCAAGUCUGGAAUGAUCUCUCCACUAAAUCAUGCUGAGUUACCACUUGAGGUUGCCAAUCCAUCUAAUUCCGGUGGCCAUACACAUUUGUUAUCUCAGUAUGCUGCUCCUGUUCAUCUUCCUUCGGGGACACUGAUGGAGGAUGAGAAACUAGCUGCGCUAGGCUUGUCUGACCAGCUUCCUUCUGCUCAAGGACUAUUUCAAGCUACUCCAUCCCAGUCGCCUUUUUCUGUCAAUCAGCUUCCCACGGCAAUACCCAACAUUGGAACUCAUGUUAUAAUCAACCCAAAGCUCAAUUCUUGUGGGUUGCACUUGCAUUUUCAAAGAGUGGUUCCUAUUGUAAUGGAUAGAGCUAUCAAAGAAAUAGUGUCCAGCAUCGUUCAGCGUAGUGUUUCUAUAGCGACCCAGACAACGAAGGAUCUUGUUUUGAAGGAUUAUGCCAUGGAAUCUGAUGAGACACGAAUAUAUAAUGCAGCACACUUGAUGGUUGCAAGUCUGGCUGGAAGCUUAGCUCAUGUGACAUGCAAGGAGCCAUUACGUACUUCAAUUUCAACUCAACUAAGGAAUUCUCUUCAAGGUUUGAGUAUUGCAAGUGAACUUCUGGAACAUGCUGUGCAACUUGCUACAAAUGAUAACCUUGAUCUUGGGUGUGCAAUAAUUGAGCAGGCAGCUACAGAUAAGGCGAUACAAACCAUUGAUGGGGAAAUAGCUCAACAACUUUCUUUAAGAAGGAAGCAUAGGGAUGGUCCAACAUUUUUUGAUGCGAACAUAUAUACCCAAGGUUCGAUGGGUGUUGUACCUGAGGCCCUCCGCCCCAAACCGGGUCACCUAUCUGUCUCUCAACAGCGAGUUUAUGAGGACUUUGUUCGGCUUCCAUGGCAAAACCAAUCUAGCCAGAGCUCACAUUCUAUUCCUAUAGGUUCUUCAUCUUCUUUGGGUGUUACUGGUCUGGCUAGCGCAUUUGGUUCAGGUUCAGGACAACUUAAUGCAAGCUACUCAUCUACUCCAGGCAAUUUAGGAGCUGAAGCAGUCUCUCGGACAUUGGAUUUGGCUUCUGAUGCUAUUGACUCUAAUUCAGCUGUACUUCUUAGUGCGUCAUCUAUUCAUAUUGGGGCAACUGAUGGUGUUAUCCAGCAAAAUUCCGAAAACAAUUCUGUCAGUGCUUCAUUGUUGUCUACUGCUCCAGCCCCUGAACUUCAGUCAGGGGAUUCCUCUGAUGCUAUGAAGGAAUCGGUAAUUUCUUCACAACCAAUAACUUCAUCAGCUGCUUCUGAUAGACUUGGAAGUGCCAUUUCAGAUCCUUCUUUAAAUACAAGGGAUGCGUUGGAUAAAUAUCAGAUUGUAGCACAAAAGUUGGAGGCUUUGGUUAAUAGUGACGCUAGAGAAGCAGAAAUCCAGGGACUAAUUGUGGAGGUUCCUGAAAUCAUACUUAGAUGUAUCAGUCGAGACGAGGCUGCCUUAGCUGUAGCACAAAAGGUUUUCAAGGGUUUAUAUGAAAAUGCAUCAAACAAUUUUCAUGUUAAUGCUUGUCUUGCAAUUCUGGCUGCUAUUCGUGACGUUUGCAAGCUUGUGGUUAAAGAACUCACUAGCUGGGUGAUUUACUCAGACGAGGAGCGAAAGUUCAACAAAGAUAUUACUGUUGGCCUUAUAUGCAGUGAAUUGCUCAAUCUUGCAGAGUACAAUGUGCAUAUGGCGAAGCUUAUUGAUGGGGGAAGAAAUAAGAGUGCAACUGAGUUUGCUAUUUCUCUUAUCCAAGCACUAGUUAUUGAAGAAUCAAAAGUUAUUUCCGAACUCCACAAUCUUGUUGAUGCAUUGGCUAAGCUUGCUACAAAACCUGGAUCUCUUGAGUCAUUACAACAAUUGAUUGAGACUGUACGGAAUCCUCUUGCUAAUUCUGCUGUGCUGUCUGGUUUUACUGUGGGAAAAGAGGAUAAGACUAGACAAUAUAGAGAUAAAAAGGCUGUGAAUGAGCCUAUUGCUAACAGGGAAGACUAUAGCAAUGCUGAAUCUGUGGAACCAGAUCCUGCUGAUUUGCGUGAGAAGGUUUCCAUGCUGUUUGUGGAAUGGUACCGGAUUUGCGAACUUCCAGGUGCAAAUGAUGCUGCUUGUACUCAUUUUAUCUUACAAUUGCAUCAAAAUGGACUAUUGAAGGGGGAUGACAUGACAGAUCACUUUUUCCAAAUUCUUACGGAAGUCUCUGUUGCACAUUGCUUAUCUUCUGAGGUGAUUAAUUCUAGUGCCCUGCAAUCAACUCAGCAAGGGCAGAAUUUGUCCUUCCUAGCCAUUGAUAUAUAUUCAAAACUUGUUUUUUCAAUCCUAAAGGUGGAGCAGGGAUCAAGUAGAUUCUUUCUGUUGUCAAAGAUUUUGGCUGUUACUGUGAGAUUUAUACAAAAAGAUUCAGAAGAGAAGAAAACAUCUUUUAACCCAAGACCAUAUUUCCGACUGAUUGUGAACUGGCUAUUGGACCUUGUCUCCCCAGAUCCUGUUAUUGAUGGUGCAAACUUUCGGAUCUUGACAGCUUUUGCUGGUGCAUUCCAUAAUUUGCAGCCCCUUAAAGUUCCUUUGUUCAGCUUUGCGUGGCUUGAGAUGGUGAGUCACAGGAGCUUUAUGCCAAAAUUGCUCACUGGAAAUGCUCAGAAGGGGUGGCCCUAUGUCCAACGCUUGCUAGUAGAUUUGUUCCAGUUCCUGGAGCCAUUUUUGAGGAGUGCUGAACUAGGAAUUCCUGUAUGCCUCUUUCACUUACUACUUGUUUGCAGCUCAGUAGAACUUGAUGUGUUUAUUGCUUUGAGUGUUUUUGUUGUGUGUAUGCAGGUUCACUUUCUGUAUAAAGGUACACUAAGGGUGCUGCUGGUUCUGCUUCAUGAUUUCCCAGAAUUCCUGUGUGAUUAUCAUUUCACCUUCUGUGAUGUGAUUCCUCCAAGCUGCAUACAAAUGCGGAAUAUUAUACUCAGUGCAUUCCCCCGCAAUAUGAGGCUGCCGGAUCCAUCUACUUCCAACUUGAAGAUUGAUUUGCUUCCAGAAAUAAGGGAGGUUCCUCACAUUCUUUCUGAGGUUGAUACAGCUCUUAAAGAAAAGCAAAUGAAAGCUGACGUGGAUGAGUAUCUCAAGACGAGACAGCAGGGUUCUUCAUUCCUUACUGAAUUGAAGCAGAGACUACUACUUUCAACAAGUGAAGCUGCCUCUGCUGGUACUCGAUACAAUGUGCCAUUGAUCAACUCCCUUGUGCUUUAUGCUGGGAUGCAGGCCAUCCAGCAGCUGCAAGCAAGAACACCUCAUGCACAGUCACUAGGAAACACUACUUCUCUAGCUGUCUUAUUGGUGGAUGCUGCUUUGGAUAUUUACCAGACACUUAUGCUGGAACUGGACACUGAAGGAAGAUACCUCUUUCUGAAUGCUGUUUCCAACCAACUUCGCUAUCCUAACAACCAUACGCAUUACUUCUCGUUUGUCCUACUUCAUUUAUUUGCAGAAUCAAACCAGGAAAUUAUUCAGGAGCAGAUCACAAGAGUCCUUUUGGAACGCUUAAUAGUUAAUCGACCACAUCCAUGGGGCCUUCUGAUUACUUUCAUUGAACUCAUCAAGAAUCCUAGGUACAACUUCUGGAAUAGAUCCUUCAUAAGAUGUGCACGUGAGAUUGAAAAGCUCUUUGAAUCAGUGGCGAGAUCAUGUGGUGGCCUAAAGCCUAUGGAUGAGAGUAUGGUCUCGGGCUGGGUUUCUGAGGGCGCACACUGAGGCUUCUGACAUUGUCAUGCCUUUUUCUACCCCUUCUGUUAUCUACAUAUUAUUUUGUAUUUUACAAAUUAAACCCAUUCUGCAAUAGCAUAAAAUAAUACU
rnacentral:misc_RNA from 1 species